rnacentral:misc_RNA from 1 species
UAAUAAGUGUUUUAUGGCACUUUUUAAAUCCAUAUCCACCUUGUGUGCAAUGUCGGUCGAUCUUCUUUUUUUGAGGGAUCGACCAAACAUCAACCUUUAUUUUUUAACUCUUUGUCUGAAAAAUAUUAUGAAUAAACAAUUCAAAAUA